rnacentral:rRNA from 1 species
GACGAACGCUGGCGGCGUGCCUAAUACAUGCAAGUUGAGCGAUGAAGAUUGGUGCUUGCACCAAUUUGAAGAGCAGCGAACGGGUGAGUAACGCGUGGGGAAUCUGCCUUUGAGCGGGGGACAACAUUUGGAAACGAAUGCUAAUACCGCAUAACAACUUUAAACAUAAGUUUUAAGUUUGAAAGAUGCAAUUGCAUCACUCAAAGAUGAUCCCGCGUUGUAUUAGCUAGUUGGUGAGGUAAAGGCUCACCAAGGCGAUGAUACAUAGCCGACCUGAGAGGGUGAUCGGCCACAUAGGGACUGAGACACGGCCCAAACUCCUACGGGAGGCAGCAGUAGGGAAUCUUCGGCAAUGGACGGAAGUCUGACCGAGCAACGCCGCGUGAGUGAAGAAGGUUUUCGGAUCGUAAAACUCUGUUGGUAGAGAAGAACGUUGGUGAGAGUGGAAAGCUCAUCAAGUGACGGUAACUACCCAGAAAGGGACGGCUAACUACGUG